AUUGAACGCUGGCGGCAUGCCUUACACAUGCAAGUCGAACGGUAACAGGUCUUCGGAUGCUGACGAGUGGCGAACGGGUGAGUAAUACAUCGGAACGUGCCUAGUAGUGGGGGAUAACUACUCGAAAGAGUGGCUAAUACCGCAUGAGAUCUACGGAUGAAAGCAGGGGAUCGCAAGACCUUGUGCUACUAGAGCGGCCGAUGGCAGAUUAGGUAGUUGGUGGGAUAAAAGCUUGCCAAGCCGACGAUCUGUAGCUGGUCUGAGAGGACGAUCAGCCACACUGGGACUGAGACACGGCCCAGACACCUAGGGGGGGCAGCAGUGGGGAAUUUUGGACAAUGGUCGCAAGCCUGAUCCAGCAAUGCCGCGUGCAGGAUGAAGGCCUUCGGGUUGUAAACUGCUUUUGUACGGAACGAAAAGCCCUGGGUUAAUACCCUGGGGUCAUGACGGUACCGUAAGAAUAAGCACCGGCUAACUACGUGCCAGCAGCCGCGGUAACAC
rnacentral:rRNA from 1 species